CAGUCGCCGCGGUAAUACGAAGGGUGCAAGCGUUACUCGGAAUUACUGGGCGUAAAGCGUGCGUAGGUGGUGGUUUAAGUCCGUUGUGAAAGCCCUGGGCCCAACCCGGGAAUUGCAGUGGAUACUGGGUCACUAGAGUGUGGUAGAGGAUAGUGGAAUUUCCGGUGUAGCAGUGAAAUGCGUAGAGAUCGGAAGGAACAUCUGUGGCGAAGGCGACUAUCUGGGCCAACACUGACACUGAGGCACGAAAGCGUGGGGAGCAAACAGGAUUAGAUACCCCAGUAGUCCCUGUCUCUUAUAC
rnacentral:rRNA from 1 species